rnacentral:pre_miRNA from 1 species
ACGUGUCUACUUCUAGUCAGAUGCAUUGAUUAAAACCGAAUUUGUAUCUGACAAGUAGCCAUGUGG